rnacentral:rRNA from 1 species
GCUUGGGAAUAUGCCUUGUGGUGGGGACGAACAGUUGGAACGACUGCUAAUACCGCAUAACCUCUUAGGAGUAAAGUAGGGGGACCGUUCGGGCCGUCACGCCAUUAGAUUAGCCCAAGUGAGAUUAGCUAGUUGGUAGGGUAAAGGCUUACCAAGGCGACGAUCUCUAGCUGGUUUGAGAGGAUGAUCAGCCACACUGGGACUGAGACACGGCCCAGACUCCUACGGGAGGCAGCAGUGGGGAAUAUUGCACAAUGGGGGAAACCCUGAUGCAGCCAUGCCGCGUGUGUGAAGAAGGCC